rnacentral:rRNA from 1 species
UACGUAGGGUGCAAGCGUUACUCGGAAUUACUGGGCGUAAAGCGUGCGCAGGCGGUUUUGUAAGCCAGAUGUGAAAGCCCCGGGCUUAACCUGGGAAUGGCAUUUGGGACUGCAAGGCUUGAGUGCGGCAGAGGAGACUGGAAUUCCUGGUGUAGCAGUGAAAUGCGUAGAUAUCAGGAGGAAUACCGAUGGCGAAGGCAGGUCUCUGGGCUGACACUGACGCUCAUGCACGAAAGCGUGGGGAGCAAACAGG